rnacentral:rRNA from 1 species
GACGAACGCUGGCGGCGUGCUUAACACAUGCAAGUCGAACGGAAAGGCCCUGCUUUUGUGGGGUGCUCGAGUGGCGAACGGGUGAGUAACACGUGAGUAACCUGCCCUUGACUUUGGGAUAACUUCAGGAAACUGGGGCUAAUACCGGAUAGGAGCUCCUGCUGCAUGGUGGGGUUUGGAAAGUUUCGGCGGUUGGGGAUGGACUCGCGGCUUAUCAGCUUGUUGGUGGGGUAGUGGCUUACCAAGGCUUUGACGGGUAGCCGGCCUGAGAGGGUUACCGGCCACAUUGGGACUGAGAUACGGCCCAGACUCCUACGGGAGGCAGCAGUGGGGAAUAUUGCACAAUGGGCGGAAGCAUGAUGCAGCAACGCCGCGUGGGGGAUGACGGCCUUCGGGUUGGAAACCGCUUUCGCCUGUGACGAAGCGUGAGUGACGGUAAUGGGUAAAGAAGCACCGGCUAACUACGUG